CGGCCACAUGCCAUAUAUUGUUUAUCCAUUCAUCCACUGAGGUUCUUCCAUCUGUCAGCUCUUCUAAAUAAUGCUGCAAGGAAUAUUGGUGCAUAAGUAUCUGUUUGAGUCUGUCUCUGCUUUUAGUUAUUUGGCACACAUACUUCCAGGGCCUGCUUUUGACUCCUCCAGUCCAUUUGCACUCAGCAGCCGAGAAGGACUUUUUACCAACACACAUCCAAUCACAUCACUUUUGUACUUACAGUUCUUUGCUGGCUUAAGAUAAAAGACGGAAAUUCUCACCAAAGUCUCCAGGGCCCUGAGCUCUGGCCUGCCUACCUCCAAGUCCCCUGGCUCUUCCCUUUGCUCUGCUCCAGCUGUCUAGACUUUUCCCCAUCCUUCAAGACAGCCAUGCUCCUUUUGGAUUUCAACAUGCUGGUCCCUUUUUCUAAAAUGUUCAUCCUCCCGCAACACCCGGGUUUUGCUAGUUUUUGCUUGGCCAAUUCAUCCUCUAGCUUUCUCAUCCAUCUUGCCUUAAAAUGCUCCUGAAUAUCUCCCUUCCUCCCUCGGGCUCAGCUCCUUCAUUCCUCGCUUCUGCUCCCAUGGUUCCUGUCUUUCGUGACUGUCCGUUCACGGGGCAUUAUUUUCCAAUGUCUGUCUUCCCUGCUGUAAUAGUAACUGUAUGCAUUCAUCCACUGGAGUUGCUUCCAUCUUUUGGCCAUCAUAAAUAAUG
rnacentral:lncRNA from 1 species